rnacentral:rRNA from 1 species
AGUGAACGCUGGCGGUAGGCCUAACACAUGCAAGUCGAACGGCAGCACAGUAAGAGCUUGCUCUUACGGGUGGCGAGUGGCGGACGGGUGAGGAAUACAUCGGAAUCUACUUUUUCGUGGGGGAUACCGUAGGGAAACUUACGCUAAUACCGCAUACGACCUACGGGUGAAAGCAGGGGAUCUUCGGGCCUUGCGCGAUUGAAUGAGCCGAUGUCGGAUUAGCUAGUUGGCGGGGUAAAGGCCCACCAAGGCGACGAUCCGUAGCUGGUCUGAGAGGAUGAUCAGCCACACUGGAACUGAGACACGGUCCAGACUCCUACGGGAGGCAGCAGUGGGGAAUAUUGGACAAUGGGCGCAAGCCUGAUCCAGCCAUACCGCGUGGGUGAAGAAGGCCUUCGGGUUGUAAAGCCCUUUUGUUGGGAAAGAAAAGCAGCAGGUUAAUACCCCGCUGUUCUGACGGUACCCAAAGAAUAAGCACCGGCUAACUUCGUG